rnacentral:rRNA from 1 species
GAUGAACGCUGGCGGCGUGCCUAAUACAUGCAAGUCGAGCGAACGGACGAGAAGCUUGCUUCUCUGAUGUUAGCGGCGGACGGGUGAGUUACACGUGGAUAACCUACCUAUAAGACUGGGAUAACUUCGGGAAACCGUAGCUAAUACCGGAUAAUAUUUUGAACCGCAUGGUUCAAAAGUGAAAGACGGUCUUGCUGUCACUUAUAGAUGGAUCCGCGCUGCAUUAGCUAGUUGGUAAGGUAACGGCUUACCAAGGCAACGAUGCAUAGCCGACCUGAGAGGGUGAUCGGCCACACUGGAACUGAGACACGGUCCAGACCCCUACGGGAGGCAGCAGUAGGGAAUCUUCCGCAAUGGGCGAAAGCCUGACGGAGCAACGCCGCGGGAGUGAUGAAGGUCUUCGGAUCGUAAAACUCUGUUAUUGGGGAAGAACGUAUGUGUAAGUAACUGUGCACAUCUUGCCGGUACCGAAUCAGAAAGCCACGGCUAACUACGU